rnacentral:rRNA from 1 species
AGAGUUUGAUCCUGGCUCAGGAUGAACGCUAGCGACAGGCUUAACACAUGCAAGUCGAGGGGCAUCACGGGAGUAGCAAUACAACUGGUGGCGACCGGCGCACGGGUGAGUAACGCGUAUGCAACCUACCUAUCAGGAGGGGAAUAACCCGGCGAAAGUCGGACUAAUACCGCAUAAAACAGGGGCACCGCAUGGUGAUAUUUGUUAAAGAAAUUCGCUGAUAGAUGGGCAUGCGUUCCAUUAGGUAGUUGGUGAGGUAACGGCUCACCAAGCCGACGAUGGAUAGGGGAACUGAGAGGUUGGUCCCCCACACUGGUACUGAGACACGGACCAGACUCCUACGGGAGGCAGCAGUGAGGAAUAUUGGUCAAUGGGCGGGAGCCUGAACCAGCCAAGUCGCGUGAAGGAAGAAGGAUCUAUGGUUCGUAAACUUCUUUUGCAGGGGAAUAAAGUGCAGGACGUGUCCUGUUUUGUAUGUACCCUGAGAAUAAGGAUCGGCUAACUCCGUGCCAGCCGCCGC